CCUUGUGCUGUCUGGCUGUUACCCCCUCCCCUGUACCCGGACCCUAACCCCCACCUCGUACCCCCAGACCAACCGCUGCUGUGGAACUGAAAUAAUGAUUUGAAUGAACUGAGAAACUUAUCCUUAUUUUAGAUUUGUGUUUUCUCUUUAAAAACGAAACAUAGUAUGGCAUAUGUUUUUGGUUUUCUAGACCUGGUAAAAAAUGAUUUUAUGACUACCGCCAGCUGCAACAGAAUACCAUCCCGGGUACCAUGUUUGUCUCUGCUGCCAGUAUGAAGGAGGUCAGAGGUAGUUUCACAAGUCAAUGCUAACUAAUUAAAUGAUUUUAUGACUACUGCCAGCUGCAACAGAAUACCAUCCCGGGUACCAUGUUUGUCUCUGCUGCCAGUAUGAAGGAGGUCAGAGGUAGUUUCACAAGUCAAUGCUAACUAGCGUUACAGGAACAGUUAGUAUGCUAGCUGUUCCUGUUAAUCUGACGACUAAAGUCAAUAGACUGUUAGUUUACACGUCCUCUUGCAAUUAAAUGUAGGUCGUUUCAUUAUUUUGAACGGUCUACCAAAUCUAUUCAUUUUAAAAUGUUGAUUUUACUUCUGCUUGCUAUUUAUUAUUUACGCGAUGAUAUAAGACGUGACUUUUCAAUGUUUCUGCUAACAUAUGAUGGGGGUCCCUUUUGUCGCUGAUUUGCCUGGGUGGGGGUCUCUGGGUCAUGGGUUUGCCUGGGUGGGGGUCCCUGGGUCACUGGUUUGCCUGGGCGGGGAUCUUUGGGUCAUGGGUUUGUUUGCCUGGCGGGGGUCUCUGGCUCAUGGGUUUGCCUGGGUCAUGGGUUUGCCCGGGUGGGGUCUCUGGCUCAUGGGUUUGCCUGGGUCAUGGGUUUGCCCGGGUCAUGGGUUUGCCCGGGUGGGGGGUCUCUGGGUGUGCCUGGGCGGGGGCUGUAACAGCAGAACUGUCUUCAAUGGCCCACUAUUCACUACAGGACACUACUUCAAUGGCGCCCUAUUCACUACAGGACACUACUUCAAUGGCCCCCUAUUCACUACAGGACACUAGUGGCCAGGGCCUGUAGACGGACCGUUUCAGGACAGAUCCAGGAACAUUGGAACAGGCGGAUGGAGAAGCAAACCACUGAUCUGAUUAGUAUCUUGGUCAGAAUGACUGGAUUGACCAACAUGUGGCUCUGAUAUGGAACCCUAUUCCCUAUAUAGUGCUCUGCUUUUUGACGCUGUAGUGCCUUAUCUAGGGAAUAGGG
rnacentral:lncRNA from 13 species